rnacentral:lncRNA from 1 species
UCUUCCUGACGCUGCCACUGCUCUGCAUGUCUGGGAGGGUGUUUUGUGGAUAAUGACUCGUCUUAUCUGCCUGGGACAGAGGCUCAGGGAGCCGGCCUGUAACUGAGUAACUGAUUCCUCCCUGCCGCUCAGCCGUGCCUGAAGGCAGAUACAAAGUCAGCCUAGACAACUCCUGUCUGGGCAAGUCUUCUCUCCUUUGAUCCUUGGCACAAGCCUGUGAGGUGGGAAUCCAAUGCCGUCACCCAUUUUACAGGUGGGGAGACUGAGGCUCCAGCGAGGACGAGAGACUUAUACUCAGACUGAGGUUCAUGGGUGGCAGGUUUGAAUCUGGGAUGUUCUCCUUUUUUAUUGCCCCAUAAAGUUUCCUGGCAAACACGUGAUGCAAGGCCAUGACACAAAAGCCUAUUCAUUUCUAAAAAUAAGACUGACUUGUCCCCUCGUCCUGAUAAAGAAAUCUCUCACACUUUACAGCCAGGCUGGGGCCGACCCAGCCUCCCCACUUGCACAAGGAGAACACAGGUGAGUUUUCAUUUACUGUGGACUUGCCUCCGAGCCCUCUCCUCCUUCUUGGCUCAUGCCACGCUGCCUGCCCUCCACCGGCAGACGGAAGACACUUCCUAUUCUCUCACCUCCCUGGGCUGAGCCAGGUCUUGGAUACUGCCUUUAUUGUGAUGGGUGCUGGCGUGCUGGGAGGCAUGUCUGGCUCGUGGGCAACAUGGGUCCCUCGGCAGCUGCUCCUCUGUCCACACAGUCACUCUGUUAGAUGUUCACGCUGACCCUGUGCUGUGAAUGUGGUCCCCAAAAGCCAUUGCCACCACACCCUCUGCUGGUCACACAGGCUGGCUUGGGAGGGGAGUCGCCUCCUGGGGGUCACAUUUGUGAGACUGGCCUGUCAGUCUCACCUUCAGAGCAUGCCUCCCACCGUCCACUCGGCAGGUCCCAUCAGGCCCACCCAGGAGCCUGCCCAGGAGCCCUUGGAGCGUGGCCUGCCUCGUUCACUGGAUCCAGUCUUCUGGGACCCAGAAGGGAAGUUGGCAAGCAUUCCGAGAACCUAGGAUGCGCCACGUCAUUGUCCCAGCCCUGGGGACACAGGAGUGUCAGUCCCCACCUGCCAGGAGUGAACAUUCUGUAGGAGAAUGCACGAGGAAGAGAGUACAAGCAAGUGGAACUCAGUUCAUCUGAUGAUCUGCCCACAUCCGCUGAGUCACUCCUAAUGGCCCCUCAGAUGUCAUUUUCUUACUAAGACAUUUGGAAAUUUUUCUGCCUGUGAAUCAGAAGCAAACACUGUAAUUCACCAGUCUUCUCUAAGUUAUGCAAGGAACUUUGAUGUGCUCAGAAGUGGAAGCUCAGGGAGGAUGAAAUCAAUGAAUUCUCUGAGAACUUUGUUUUUCUCCUACUUGAAGUUCGUUUGCCAAGUGGAGGAUGCGAAGAGCUCAGUCUGACCACUGGAGUCACCUCUGCAGGAAGUCUGGGAGCAGCUGAUGUGGGGUUUCUUGAUGACACUGGUUUUCCUUAUCAUCUUGGUCCUGUUCCCAUAAUAGACCCGAGUGUCAUCCAGGAAGGGGCUUUCUGCCACAGCAUCUUGUCGAGGGCUGUUCCUCACAACGAAGGGCUGGCCUGAGGGUGCUUAAUCAUCUCCAGGGUCCUCGGGUGUGUGGGGUCGCCCCCGGCGUGCAGGGGACGCCUGCCCUCUGCCCCCCCGGAGCUCAGUUCAGGGCCUAUCACUGUCACCUGCCUUUGUCAC